UCUCUCUGCCCAGUGGGGGUCAAAUCUUUCUUCAAAAAACAUCAGAUGAAAGUCAUCUGCAGGAACUGAAGUGGUUUUAAGAAAGUAACGGUAGCCAUUGUUCUAAACUGGAAGUUCUGGUCCAGUUUACUGACAGGCCAAGAAGUUUCUGAAACUAUGAGGUGCCUUUGAUGCCGAGACGGCUGGUGAAACGUUGAAGCCAUUGACGGAGGUGACUGACACCUGAGUGUGACGUCUCUGAGGACGAAGCUGAACUGAGACGGCUUCUCAAAGCAGCCGACUGACAGGAUAAAGGGGAGAUAAAAACACAGACAGUCUGCAUACCUGGGCAGCAGGCAUUUGCAUUUGACAUUUCAGGCCUUUCAAAGAUGCUCUUCAGAGCUGAAAACUGUUGCAUCAAGACGAGAAAGCUGAGAAGGCUGAGUCCUGAGUUUACGUCCAAAAGUACAAAAAUAAUGUUGGUAAUCAUUUUUAAGAGUUACUGCAGUUUCCUUUGUCUUCUGGCUGAGAUCUACGGAAGACCAAUAGGGCCAAAGAAAAAAAGGAAUUCUGACCUUCUUUCCUGCAAAAUUCUGACCUUCUUUCCUGCAAAAUUCUGACUUUAAGCUCCAAAAUGUCACUUGUCUUUGCCCAAUUCUAACUUUUUCUGUCACAAUUCUGUCUUUAAUCUUACAAAUUUUGUUUAAACAUCUAACUCUUUUUCUCGAAUUCUGACUUUUUUUCCUCAGAUUUCUGACUAUUUUUUCUGCAGGAUCCUGAUUUUAAGCUCAGACGACUGAAGUAAGAAUUCUGAUUUUAAAAAGUCAGAAUUCUUUAUUUAUCUCGGUGGCCCUAAUCUGCUUCCGUAGAGAUCAAACCAAGAAACAGUUUGGCCAAAAUAAAUUUUCUGUCAGGAAUUUGUUUUUUAUUAUUUGGAAGAAGAGGGAAAUGUAAAACAUCUCCUCUGACAGCAGCAGAUGAACUGAGCCAAAGAUGGCUGCAGCAGCAGACGCUACCUGCAGAUGAAGCGUUUUAAAUCCAGUCAGCUGCCAACGGGUCCAACCAGCUUGUCACAGUACGUGAGAGCAGUUAAUUAAAUCCUUUAAACUUCCUAAAAAAAUAAAAUUAAGUUAUCGCUUACUGACAGGUGGUGGCAACAAGUGAAGCCUUGAAUUUCUGACUUUGGCAAUGUGAGAGCGGGAGAUGAUGAAGACGCUCUGAAUUCUUUUAAUCUCCUUGGAAAGCAGCAAGGAGAUGAGAAAAGAAGGACAAGAUUAUCGAAAUGCUCCGUUUUGUCAUUUUGGACAGACCCUUCUGGAAGCCAGCUCAAGUUUCUGGUUUACUAAGACUUUUAUCAAACAAGCCCACAGUUACUUUAACGCUGAGGAUGGUUUCUCCAUGUAAACCGUUGAUUCCCUCUUGUACCUGUUGUUUUUACUUCAGUCUAGUUGUUUGGCUCUUUGUAAUUUCUGCUGAAAAGCUUCACUAUCAGCCAACUGAAAGCUCCAGAGCCGUCAUUUAACCCAACAUGGAGGCUCUGAUGCUGAGUUUGUUACGUAAUCUUGAUCAGAUUAAAUGAUGACUAAUUUU